GCUUUCCUGAUGACUGUAGGAGCAGGAUUUCCAUAGAUUUUUYUCCAAUUACAGGUUUUGAACAGAGGUAGAACCUGAAUGAUGAAACUAUYAUGAUAUCUCAGCUGAAAGACAGAUUGAUUCCGAAGGUACCAGGGAAAAUUUUCCAGAGGUUUUUGUUCUCUCCUUGAAAGGAAAUACUCAAAGUACAUGAUGGCUGGAUCUAAAUAUUCUCAAAAACACUGCUAUUUUAUAGUAGUCCAGGCAUUGCCAAAUAUUGCAUUUUCUCUUAAUGUCUGUACAAGCUCCAGAUUAACACUCAGCAGUCCCUGGUCAUCUCUUGGUGUAACAGAACAUGGGACCAAAGUUUGGAUCAGCUGGUGUUCAGAGCAACUUCCACUGCGGUUUGCUGGGCACUCCAUGUUGCUGUGCGGAGCUGGGUGCUUUCCUGCUGGGCCGAGCAGCUGGUCUCCCUUGGUCUGAGUCCAUAACAAACACAGAAGCGGUGCCCAACUCAACCCGCGAGUAGAACCUGCUGUGAAUCUUUCCACCGACUGAUGAGGGGAAAGAAUGUCAAGACCACAUUGUGGGGAAACUCAGACACAUCAGACACGUUGGAUUGAUGGAGCUGGGCACUGACAGAGUGAGUCUGUUCCAGCUGCAAUGACUGUGGAAGAAUUGGAUCUGGACCCUCUUAACCAGCCCUCUGAAAGUAAGAUUUCUGUUACCGUGACCAAUCGCCAAGGACUAUUUUAUUUUAACCCAUGUCAAAUCUGAGCCUACCUAUGGGGCUAAACCACAACCUUCUGAGCCAAGUGUAUCUGAAUACAAACUCUCUUCACUGGCUGUUUGUUACUUUUUGGAAAAUUUAGCCACAUACAGUGGUAUGGAGCAAUCUCCACCAAAUGAAACUUCUCAAGCUUUGUUGAAUUUGAAAUAAUGUAUACUCCUUUCUCCAAACUUACCGAGUCAAUGCAUCAGCUCCUUGUUUAUUAGCAAAUGAAAUGAACAGAACACAGCUCUGUAUUGGAUUUUCUCUUCAGGAUAAACAAGAUGAAAAGAAAGAUUUAAUAGUUUACUUGACUGCCCCUUAUUCUGUAAACCAUAAGCACUUGUGAGAGCUCUCAUACGUAUUCCAUAUUGAGCACCUAGCAGCCUGUAGACAGCUUACACUGUUCUCCUGGGAUGCUUCCAGUAGGCAAUCC